rnacentral:rRNA from 1 species
UACGUAGGUGGCAAGCGUUGUCCGGAUUUAUUGGGCGUAAAGCGAGUGCAGGCGGUUCAAUAAGUCUGAAGUGAAAGCCCGCGGCUCAACUGCGGAACGGCUUUGGAAACUGAGUAACUGGAGUGCUGGAGGGGCAGGCGGAAUUCCUGGUGUAGCGGUGAAAUGCGUAGAUAUCAGGAGGAACACCGGUGGCGAAGGCGGCCUGCUGGACAGUAACUGACGUUGAGGCUCGAAAGCGUGGGGAGCAAACAGG